rnacentral:rRNA from 2 species
AAAUUGAAGAGUUUGAUCAUGGCUCAGAUUGAACGCUGGCGGCAGGCCUAACACAUGCAAGUCGAACGGUAACAGGAAGCAGCUUGCUGCUUCGCUGACGAGUGGCGGACGGGUGAGUAAUGUCUGGGAAACUGCCUGAUGGAGGGGGAUAACUACUGGAAACGGUAGCUAAUACCGCAUAAUGUCGCAAGACCAAAGAGGGGGACCUUCGGGCCUCUUGCCAUCGGAUGUGCCCAGAUGGGAUUAGCUUGUUGGUGGGGUAACGGCUCACCAAGGCGACGAUCCC